rnacentral:rRNA from 1 species
ACGAACGCUGGCGGUGUGCUUCACACAUGCAAGUCGAACGGGGUAGCAAUACCCAGUGGCGGACGGGUGAGUAACACGUGGGAAUCUACCAUUAGAUGGGGAAUAACAGGCCGAAAGGACUGCUAAUGCCGCAUAUGUAUGUGCCUCGACAGGGGCGUAUAUGAAAGGAGUAAUCCGUCUGAUGAUGAGCCCGCGUCCGAUUAGCUAGUUGGUAGGGUAAAAGCCUACCAAGGCGACGAUCGGUAGGUGGUCUGAGAGGAUGAUCACCCACAAUGGGACUGAGACACGGCCCAUACUCCUACGGGAGGCAGCAGUGGGGAAUUUUGUGCAAUGGGGGAAACCCUGACACAGCGACACCGCGUGAGCGAAGAAGCCCUUUGGGGUGUAAAGCUCUGUCAACGGGAACGAAAAAAAUGACGGUACCCGUGGAGGAAGCAUCGGCUAACUACGU